rnacentral:rRNA from 1 species
AUUGAACGCUGGCGGCAUGCCUUACACAUGCAAGUCGAACGGCAGCACGGGUGCUUGCACCUGGUGGCGAGUGGCGAACGGGUGAGUAAUACAUCGGAACGUACCUUAUCGUGGGGGAUAGCGCAGCGAAAGCUGUGCUAAUACCGCAUACGCCCUGAGGGGGAAAGCGGGGGAUCGCAAGACCUCGCGCGAUUAGAGCGGCCGAUGCCUGAUUAGCUUGUUGGUGGGGUAAAAGCCCACCAAGGCGACGAUCAGUAGCUGGUCUGAGAGGACGUUCAGCCAGACUGGGAAUGAGACACGGCCCAGACUCCUACGGGAGGCAGCAGUGGGGAAUUUUGGACAAUGGGGGCAACCCUGAUCCAGCAAUGCCGCGUGAGUGAAGAAGGUCUUCGGGUUGUAAAGCUCUUUUGUCAGGGAAGAAACACCGGCUCUAACACAGUCUGGGAAUGACGGUACCUGAAGAAUAAGCACCGGCUAACUACGUGCCAGCCGCCGCGGUAA